rnacentral:rRNA from 1 species
CGAAGAACUCCGAUUGCGAAGGCAGCUUACUGGACUGUAACUGACGCUGAUGCUCGAAAGUGUGGGUAUCAAACAGGAUUAGAUACCCUGGUAGUCCACACAGUAAACGAUGAAUACUCGCUGUUGGCGAUACACAGUCAGCGGCCAAGCGAAAGCAUUAAGUAUUCCACCUGGGGAGUACGCCGGCAACGGUGAAACUCAAAGGAAUUGACGGGGGCCCGCACAAGCGGAGGAACAUGUGGUUUAAUUCGAUGAUACGCGAGGAACCUUACCCGGGCUUAAAUUGCAGCGGAAUGUAGUGGAAACAUUACAGCCUUCGGGCCGCUGUGAAGGUGCUGCAUGGUUGUCGUCAGCUCGUGCCGUGAGGUGUCGGCUUAAGUGCCAUAACGAGCGCAACCCUUAUCUAUAGUUACUAUCAGGUCAUGCUGAGGACUCUAUGGAGACUGCCGUCGUAAGAUGUGAGGAAGGUGGGGAUGACGUCAAAUCAGCACGGCCCUUACGUCCGGGGCUACACACGUGUUACAAUGGGGGGUACAGAAGGCAGCUACCUGGCGACAGGAUGCUAAUCCCGAAAACCUCUCUCAGUUCGGAUUGGAGUCUGCAACCCGACUCCAUGAAGCUGGAUUCGCUAGUAAUCGCGCAUCAGCCACGGCGCGGUGAAUACGUUCCCGGGCCUUGUACACACCGC